rnacentral:rRNA from 1 species
CUAGAUUGAUGGCGAGUGGCGAACGGGUGAGUAAUACAUCGGAACGUGCCCUGUAGUGGGGGAUAACUAGUCGAAAGAUUAGCUAAUACCGCAUACGACCUGAGGGUGAAAGUGGGGGACCGCAAGGCCUCAUGCUAUAGGAGCGGCCGAUGUCUGAUUAGCUAGUUGGUGGGGUAAAGGCCCACCAAGGCGACGAUCAGUAGCUGGUCUGAGAGGACGAUCAGCCACACUGGGACUGAGACACGGCCCAGACUCCUACGGGAGGCAGCAGUGGGGAAUUUUGGACAAUGGGCGAAAGCCUGAUCCAGCAAUGCCGCGUGUGUGAAGAAGGCCUUCGGGUUGUAAAGCACUUUUGUCCGGAAAGAAAUGGCUCUGGUUAAUACCUGGGGUCGAUGACGGUACCGGAAGAAUAAGGACCGGCUAACUACGUGCCAGCAGCCGCGGUAAUACGUAGGGUCCAAGCGUUAAUCGGAAUUACUGGGCGUAAAGCGUGCGCAGGCGGUUGUGCAAGACCGAUGUGAAAUCCCCGAGCUUAACUUGGGAAUUGCAUUGGUGACUGCACGGCUAGAGUGUGUCAGAGGGGGGUAGAAUUCCACGUGUAGCAGUGAAAUGCGUAGAGAUGUGGAGGAAUACCGAUGGCGAAGGCAGCCCCCUGGGAUAACACUGACGCUCAUGCACGAAAGCGUGGGGAGCAAACAGGAUUAGAUACCCUGGUAGUCCACGCCCUAAACGAUGUCAACUAGUUGUUGGGGAUUCAUUUCCUUAGUAACGUAGCUAACGCGUGAAGUUGACCGCCUGGGGAGUACGGUCGCAAGAUUAAAACUCAAAGGAAUUGACGGGGACCCGCACAAGCGGUGGAUGAUGUGGAUUAAUUCGAUGCAACGCGAAAAACCUUACCUA